CCUACGGUGGGCAGCAGUGGGGAAUAUUGAACAAUGGGGGAAACCCUGAUGCAGCGACGCCGCGUGAGUGAAGAAGUAUUUCGGUACGUAAAGCUCUAUCAGCAGGGAAGAAAAUGACGGUACCUGACUAAGAAGCCCCGGCUACCUACGUGCCAGCAGCCGCGGUAAUACGUAGGGGGCAAGCGUUAUCCGGAUUUACUGGGUGUAAAGGGAGCGUAGACGGCAGCGCAAGUCUGGAGUGAAAUCCCAUGGCUUAACCAUGGAACUGCAUUGGAAACUGUGCAGCUAGAGUGCAGGAGAGGUAAGCGGAAUUCCUAGUGUAGCGGUGAAAUGCGUAGAUAUUAGGAGGAACACCAGUGGCGAAGGCGGCUUACUGGACUGUAACUGACGUUGAGGCUCGAAGGCGAGGGGAGCGAACGGGAUUAGAUACCCGGGUAGUC
rnacentral:rRNA from 1 species